GUCCGUUCAUUCUCUUAUGAGAACGCAUGAAACCACAUCAUGGAACGGGGGUGUGGU
ncrna:unclassified sequences Glutamine-II riboswitch (downstream peptide RNA)